CUUGUUCUCUGCUCAGCUUCCUGGCUCAGAGCCUAUUGCUGCACCGCCUCAAUUGUGCGCCGGGAGCCCGGGCCGAGCCGAGCCGAGCCGACCCGCUGCUGCUCCCCAGCAGGGUGUGUGUGCGGGGAGAGCCCUUCCCUAGCGCCCCUCUGUGCCCAGCCGGGGGAACUUUCUCCGGGGACCGGAAUCAGCCCCUGGGGCAGCCCCGAGCUCUGCCGACACCAGCCCCUGAGCCGGAGCCUGCAGGAUUUCUGGUUCCCCAAUGCAAAGUGAUCUCACUGAUGGAUGGAGGGGAGGGUCCCCAGUCUCCAGGGCUCUGAGGAACAGGAGAUCCCAAGGAGCACCCACACAGCAGGUGAUAGGACGGUGAGUGAGACCAAGGAGGAGAACCCUCAGCAGGGAGGUCCUGAGCAAGUGGAACCGCAGGGGGUGCUGUCGGGAGAUGCUGAAAGGAACAUUUCCCAGAAUCCUGGGCAGGGAGAAGCCCAUGAGAGUCAGCAGGGAAACCAGCUGGAGGAGAGACGAGGUGAAUCCGCACACCAUGUAGGAGCUCUCAAGCACAGCAUGGGUGGUAGGACGCUGCCCGUAGGCAAGAACCAGAGCACCUGCACUGAAUGUGGGAAGCAGUUCAGCCGGAGCUCGUAUCUGGCGCAGCACCAACGGGUGCACACGGGGGAGCGUCCCUAUGCCUGCGCCACCUGCGGGAAGAGCUUUGCUGUCAGCUCUGCCCUGCUUCGGCACCAGCGCACUCACACAGGUGAGCGGCCCUACCAGUGCCCCGACUGCCAGUGCAGCUUCAGCCGCAGCUCCCACUUGACACGGCACCAGCGCUGCCACACACAGGAGGGGCCCUGCCAUGGGGUUGGCUUGCCGGGUGAGCGCCCCUUCGCCUGCCUGGACUGCUGGCGGACAUUCAGCCAGAGCUCGGACCUGGUGCAGCACCAGCGGGUGCACACGGACGAGCGCCCCUAUGCCUGCACCGACUGUGGGAAGAUCUUUGGCCGCAGCUCACACCUGCGGCAGCACCGGCGCACACAUACUGGGGAGCGCCCCUACGCCUGCCAGGAUUGUGGGCGCUGCUUCAGCGAUGGCUCCUACCUCAUCAAACACCAGCGCACCCACACUGGCGAGAAGCCCUACACCUGCCCUGACUGCAGCAAGGGUUUCAGCGUCAGCUCCCAGCUGGUUCGGCACCGGCGCGUCCACACUGGGGAGCGGCCCUACGCCUGCUGGGACUGCGGGAAAAGUUUCAGCCAGGGCACAGACCUGGCCACCCACCAGCGGUCCCACACGGGUGAGCGCCCCUACACCUGCCCUGACUGCGGGAAGGGCUUCAGCGACAGCUCCUCCCGCAUCCGACACCACCGGCUGCACAUCCAGGAUGCCCCGUGAUGGGCUGGUCGUGUGAUGCACUGUCAGUAUUACCCUGGCACCUAGGACCGGGCCCCUGUUUGAUGGGUGCAAAUUUACCCUAAUUUACUCUCUUCUUGCCUUCUGUUUAAUGACCAUCAGGCUUAGCUGCCCAAGACUCCAUGCUUUGUAAGAACACUGUGAGCCGUGACCAGAGACAGCUAAAAGCAAGGCAGCCCGAUGCUGGUACGCAGUUGCUAAGUCUCAGAGUGGCUGAUGACACCCUGUGCUGGGCCUGUGUUUCUCCUGCCAUGAGGUUCCAAGCGUGAGUCGGCGCCCGAGACGGAAGCUACAUUUUCCUGCUUUGCUGUUUGUUUCCCUCGCCUUGUGUGUCUCUUCUUAGGCAGUGGGAUCUGCCUUUAACAAGAGUCCAUUUUCUCCUUUCCCUACAAGGACAGUUAGCAUCUAAGAGACUGUCAGACCAGAGGCUUUUCCUUCUAAAAACUUGCUCCAGCUAAAGGAACAAAGGCUGUUGUUGAAAUAAAAGCCUCACUUUGUAUCGAGA